AGAGUUUGAUCCUGGCUCAGGAUGAACGCUGGCGGCGUGCUUAACACAUGCAAGUCGAACGAUGAACCCCGCUUGCGGGGGGAUUAGUGGCGAACGGGUGAGUAACACGUGAGUAACCUGCCCUUAACUCUGGGAUAAGCCUUGGAAACGGGGUCUAAUACUGGAUAUUGACUUUUCCUCGCAUGGGGUUUGGUUGAAAGAUUUAUUGGUUUUGGAUGGACUCGCGGCCUAUCAGCUUGUUGGUGAGGUAAUGGCUCACCAAGGCGACGACGGGUAGCCGGCCUGAGAGGGUGACCGGCCACACUGGGACUGAGACACGGCCCAGACUCCUACGGGAGGCAGCAGUGGGGAAUAUUGCACAAUGGAGGGAACUCUGAUGCAGCAACGCCGCGUGAGUGAAGAAGGUUUUCGGAUCGUAAAACUCUGUCAUUGGGGAAGAAUAAAUGACGGUACCCAAUGAGGAAGCCCCGGCUAACUACGUGCCAGCAUCCGCGGUAACACGUAGGGGGCGAGCGUUAUCCGGAAUUAUUGGGCGUAAAAGAGCUCGUAGGCGGUUUGUCGCGUCUGCCGUGAAAGUCCGGGGCUCAACUCCGGAUCUGCGGUGGGU
rnacentral:rRNA from 1 species